ACCGGAAUUUAUUUAGUGUAAGUGAACAACCGGGAUUUAUUUCCCAAAUAUUUUAAUUUGUUCCCUCGCGAUAUCCCUCCCGCGUCAUUCCCCAAAAUAUUUGUAUUUCAAUAUCUAUUACCUUUUCCCCAUCUAUUCCCCUUUCCCCCUUGCGCACAGUUGGUUCCUAAUCCCCUACCCCCCUUGAUAAUUUGAUCUUCAGAUGUUCUUACAGAAGAAACACUAGCAGUAUUUCAUUCUCAAGCAAUUUUAUACUCGGAGUUAUUUGGCUUGGUAUUUUCUUUGAGAGUUUGAGUAGAUGAAAAGGUAUUAAGCGGUUAUUAUCCGGAUUGACAGCCCUGGAGGUGCCAACUUGCUUCUGGGUCUCUGACUUAGAUGGUAAAGGAAAUGAAGCUUUGUCACAAAGAAAACACGGAUGAAAUAAUGAUUUCUAUUAAAGCCAGCAGACUUCAUCAUGAAACAUGUGUUUCAAAGCCAUCUCUUGAAUGCACCGUGAUUGGUUCUUUAUGAGCUUAUGUGAUAAUUGGAAUUACCUAAUUAGUAGCAGAAGCACUCAUAAGGUGAACAAGUGAAAGCUGCUAAAUUCCAGGUUUGUGAUGUUUGUUAUAAUAAUUUUUAUUAUAGUUUUUAUUUAUCCACAUUGGUAAUUUCUCAUAGUUAUUUCCAAAAUCUACUUUAUCAUUAUAUACAAGGAUUCUUCAUGAUUUUUUUUUACAGUUAUUACUAUCAAUAAGGGUAGUGAAUGAUAAUAAGGCUUCUAAAGUAUAUAAUAACUACCGUGGUGAUCAGUCUGCAUAAGGUAACAAUGGUAUAUGAAGGUUUUAUUGAGCAUCAUAAGGUAUUAUUGAGAAUGGCAUGGAAUCAUCAGAUGGCACAAAAAACCAUUUCCGAGGUUACAACUGAAAAAAGGUUUUGAAUAAAAUAUUGAAUGAGGGAGAAGGCUAUGACCGCCCAAACGAUGAUGCGAGUCGUUCAAGUAUGGGUUUUUAUGACAGAAAAAGCCGUUGAGGGACUAUGAAGAAAGCUAAAGGAUGUGACUGCUGCAACUAAGCAUUGGGAUUCAGUGAAGUCCUAUUAUCACAAGGCUACUAUUUUACCUCGAAGGCAUGAAAUUCACUGAAAGUUGGAGCUGCACCCAUUCUUGUUAAGGUAGAACAGAUAUUAAGUCGAGGUAGCAAGAUGGGUGGGUCGGCUGAUGGGUCAAAACAAGUUUGGAUUACAGCAGGCACAUCAUUUAACAUGUCAGGAAAGCAAGAGGGUUCCCCGUUGUGUGGACAAGUUGAUCGAACAACAUCAUAUGCCAACACGACAUAGGUGAUGAUUAAGACUAGAAGUGUUGUAGACAUGCCAUUUUGUGUAUAUGUAUAUUGAAAACGCGAACGUUUUAUACUUAUUUUGUUUUUAUUCUCCGUUCCAAA